UAUAUAUAUAUAUAUAGCAAUAUGUUUAAGGUUCAGGUAUAGAAUAUCAAAAAGAACAUCUAAUCAUCUGUCAGUUUAUACUACAGAAAUGAUUGCCAUAUUUUUGGCUCUUCAGUGGGUUGAAUACAUUAAUAUACCAGAAGUAUAAGACUCGUUUUCAGCGCUGACAAGUUUAAAGAGUGGUAAAUCAUCAACUAGACAAGACAUUUUGUAAGACAUUUUACAGAUUUUUUUCAGAAUACAAUCAAAAACAAUUAUUUAUUUUGUAUGAUACUGGCACAUAUAGGUAUAGAAGGUAAUGAAGUGGUGGAUCAGAUAGCGAAAUUAAAAUUGCGUAAAUUAGAAAUAAAAAGGGUCUUUAAAAAGCAUUAAAAGAUAUGUGGCAAAUGAAAUGGGAUGGUGAGAAUAAAGGACGGCAUUUAUAUAAUAUUCAAAGAACAGUUGGAGAUGAGAGGAGAAUUUGUGGGAAUAGAAAGGAAGACAGCAUAAUAUCUCACCUUAGAAUUCGACACACUGCACUUAACCAAUCUUUAUUUAUAAUAGGUAAACAUGAGUCUGGACUUUGUGUAAAAUGUGAUCUUCCUGAAACAGUUGAACAUAUUUUAAUAAAAUGUAAAUGAUAUGAUAACAAAAGAUUACAACUUACAGAACACUUAAUAUAGAAAUAAAUCAGAUCUCACUUCAGAAAUUGUUAGAAAGAUGUGGAUAUAGAAAUUCUUCACAUAUUAAUUAUCUCAAAGAUACAGAGGUAAUAAAAAAGGUUAUUUGCUUUCUUUUUCCUUUUUUUUUUUUUUUUUUUUUUUUGUUAAUUUUCAUUACCGUCGAUGCUACACAACUUCAUCCUAGUAGGUGGCAGUAAAUGCACCUAAAGCUGAUUUGCCAACCGCCAUAAAACGUCAAAGAAGAAGAAGAGCGUGUGUUGAUGAAUAUAUUUUAGACUUAGGCAAGUAAAUAGGAAGUAUAUUGAUGCUUAUUUCAUUUUGGGAGGAGAUUUCAACGAAUGCAUAGAUGAUUGUUUGGACAGAUACCCCCCUAGACUUGAUGGUGGAAAAAAUAAUGACUUAAUUUUUUCUCUUUGCACAGAUCUCUCCCUGACUGAUGCAUGGCGGUUCUUUAACCCUUAUACAAAAGAUUUUACCUGGUCAAAUAAAACUUUAUCUCUUAGAUCCAGGAUUGAUUUAUUUUUAAUUUCUUCUUCUAUUCUUAGAUAUUUAAAAGAUAUUUCUCACACCAUUGCCCCCUUAUCUGAUCAUAAGUUAGUUUUUUUUUAAAGAUAAGUGACGUCCAGGAUAAUCCGAGACUCAGGGGUUACUGGAAACUUAAUAAUACCUUGCUAAAGGAUCAACAGUUUAAUCAUAGUAUCAUCAAGCUUAUCAAACAAUUAUUUACUGAUUUAAAUGGGGAUUAUAAAAAAACAUGGGAGUUCUUUAAAUAUAAAGCCAGACAUACAGCAGUUAAAAGAAGUAAAGAAAUUAAAAAGAGUAAACGUCAAACUGAUUCAGAGUUGGUUAAUAAACUUAAUGAAUUAUUGACUAAAAGUAAAAUUACAGAAGAAGAACAUUUAGAACUAAAAAAGUUAAAUUUGGAGCUUGAUAAAGCCUACUUAGAUUUGGCUAAAGGUGCAUAUACAAGGUCUCGUGCUAAAUGGUUGGAGGAGGGGGAAAGCAAUUCUAGUUAUUUUUUUUGCCCUGGAAAAAAGGAACGGUCAGAGGAAAGCUCUCUCUGCACUAAACAUUGAUGGAGUCAUUUCUUAAGACCAAAAAGUAAUAUCUGAUUUUGUUGCAAACUUUUAUAGCACUCUUUAUACCUUUAAUUUCAACCGUAAUAUUUCUGAGAAAUGUAUUGAUUUAAUUAAACACCAUAUUAAAGUUAUUGAUCGAGAGUAUAGUCAAAUUUGUGAUUCUCCUUUAUCAAUUGAUGAAAUCAAGCAAGCUCUACAUAAAAUGAAAAAAAGGUAAAUCCCCUGGGAUUGAUGGGCUCUCGGUAGAAUUUUAUCUCCAUUUUUGGGAGUUUAUUAAAUUACCAUUAUUUCAUAUGUAUAAUGAAUGCAUCAGUCAGGGAGAUAUGACGGCUACUAUGAAACAGGGAGUCAUCUCUCUUAUACCCAAGCAAGACAAGGAUCCUUUAAUAAUCGACAAUUGGCGACCUAUUACUCUGUUAACAUUAGACUAUAAAAUAUUAGCCUCUGUCUAUGCUAAAAGAUUAAGUUAUGGUUUAGACAAUAUCAUUUCAUUUCAGAAUCUCAAUCUGGUUUCAUGAAAGGCCGUCACAUUUCUAACAACAUGACUUGCUGGAUUAUUCCGAUUUAAUUCAUUCUGAUGGUCUCAUACUUUUUCUUGACUUUCAUAAAGACUCCAUAGAACAUAAAUUUAUUUUUCGUACUCUAGAAUUAUUUGGAUUUGGUAAAGCAUUUAUGGAGACUGUAUCCAUGUUUUAUAGAGGCAUUAACAGCUCAGUAAUUGUGAACUUUGACACUUCUAAGAGGUUUAAUAUAUAUCGUGGAGUCAGACAGGGCUGUCCAAUCUCCCCAUUUUUAUUUCUUUUAGCCACAGAGUUACUCUGUCUAAGAAUUAAACAAGAUGAAAGUUUGAAAGGAAUUUCAGUUUUUGACAGGGAGUUCAAAAUAUCACAGCUAGCAGAUGACACUACGCUGUUUUUGCAGGACAAAUGUCAGUUACCAAAAGCUCUGGAUUUGGUUGAACAAUUCUCAUGUGCGUCAGGUCUAGAACUUAAUACUUCGAAAUGUGAAAUUAUGACAAUUCAUGAUAGGGAUGAUAUAGUCUUAGGAGGCAUCCUAGUUAAAAAAAAAGUGUAAAAUAUUUAGGAAUUCAUAUCAGUAGAAAUUUAAUCAGUAGACAUCAUUUAAAUUUUUCUGAUAAAAUUAUAAAAACGAAACAGAUCUUUAAUAUCUGGCUUCAGAGAGAUCUUACAUUAUAUGGUAGAGUUCUUUUAUCUAAAGUUGAAGGGCUCUCUCACUUUGUAUAUUCUGCUCUUUCUUUGUUUGUCAACGAUAAAGCUAUAAAGGAAAUUAAUAAAAUAUUUUUGGAUUUUAUCUGGAAAAAUAGACCGUACAAGUUAAAAAGAGAUGUGCUUACUAACUCCAGAAGCGAAGGUGGCCUUGAUUUUUUGGACUUUGCAGACACUGUAAACACCUUUAAAGUAAACUGGCUGAAAAGAUGCCUUGCAAAUCCAAUGUCAAUGUGGUUUUUUAUCCCAAAUAAGAUAUUUGACCAACUUGGUGGCCUAUCUUUCUUACUGAAAUGUAAUUUUCUGCCUGGUAAGUUACCUAUUUCCUUAUCUAACUUCCACCAUCAAUGUCUUCUUUCCUGGAAAUUGUGUUUUGUCCAUGGAUUCUCCCCCCAUAAAGUUCUCCUUUGGAAUAAUGCUGAUAUAACGGUUAGAAAUAAAUCUCUUUUUUUCCAUAGAUGGUUUAAUAAUAACUUGAACUCUAUUCUAUCUGUGUUUGACAAGUUUGGUAGUAUUUUAACUUACGAACAAUUUAUGAAUCUUCAUAAUUUUCCAGUCCCACCAAAGGAAUAUUAUAAUUUGAUAAAAGCCAUCCCAGUAGGUUUAAUUCAGUUAAUUUCAAGUCACCUUAAAUUCAGUAAAGGCAACAGCGUUUAUCCGGCUUUACGUUUGGGGGGUAUUGGUAUUUUAGAUCGGAAAUGCAAUAACAGACAUAUCCGUAAAAUAUUUCAGACAAAAAGAAAGAUUGUUCCAAGAGGGAAAUUCUAUUGGGGUUCCUUUAUAACAAAUAUAAAUUGGAGAAAGGCCUGGCUCCUGCCAAGAAAAUUUUGCAUUUCUAAUAAGGUAAAGGAGAUCCAUUAAUAAAAUCCUUCAUAAAAUCGACCCUGUUAAUCUGUCUGUCUCAAAAUAUUCUAAUGUCGAUGAAUCAUGCUCGUUUUGUGGUUUUGUGGAGGAAACAGCUGCCCAUUUGUUUUUUGAUUGCGGUGUCACCAACAAAUUAUGGGUUGACAUAAGCACCUACAUUUCUAACCUUACAAAUGUGUCCCACAUUUUUAUCCUCAAAGAUGUUAUCUUUUAUUAUGAAAAUCCAAAGCUAUUAUCUGUUGAAUAUGUUGUUAAUUUUCUUAUAUUGAAUGCAAAAUUUUUCAUUCAUAAACAGAAAUGGCUUAAGUCUCCUUUGUCUUUCCCCCAUUUUCUUAUGGAAUUGGACUCUCUUGUUUCAUCUCUUAGACUUACAAAGAACAAAAAGAGUAGCAAGUUUUUGAUGUAUUAUGACAACUUUUCCUAAAAGAAUGUAAGUUUAUUUUUGCACUUUUAUGUAUCAAUAAUACUAUAAUUUUAUAUGCAAAUCCAGAAUGUCUAUUUUAUUUUAUGUUUGCUUCUCAUUGGAGUGUAUUUAUAUCUCGCUUCCCUGUGUUUUUGUAUAUUUGUACAAGUUUUUUUUCUUGCAAUAAAAAAAAAGAAAAAAAAGAAAGAAAUAUAUUUUAGAAAGGCAAGAGUUUAAGAAUCAGCUACGGGAAAUAGGUAUAUUAUAAUAUAAUGUAAAUAAUAUAGUAACAUAUGGAAAUAAUGACCCAGGACAGAGAUAUUUGUUUAAUUUUCUAAGGAGAACUGGACUGGAAAGACGAGUUUAAAUAAAAGUGAGUAAGCUAGAGUGAGACAACAGAUGGUAGUAAUGCAACACUUUGGAUGCCAACUGCCAUAAAAAAUCCAUUGAAGCAGCAGAAGAAGAGCGUGUGAUGAAGGGGAAAAAACGACUGUUUGCUGGUGUUUUCUGAGGACUUCACAAAUUCAUGAUUCCGAUGAAGGAGAUUUGGACCACUUUAUCCUUAAUCUUCAUAUUCAGACUUUUAUUUGAACGGCUGUGUGUCAAUUUCAUGUUUGUAUAUUAAAUUGUAUUAUUGUAAAUCAAAAAUCUUUAUUCACACAAUGCUCUGCCACUGAGCCACAGGAACACUGUAAAUUUAAUACAAUGAAAGCAAUGGAAAGAAAUCUCUCAUACAACCCACCAAAAAAAAAAAAAAAUGCAUUCUGUCUCUCUCUCUCUCUCUCUCUCUCUCUCUCUCUCUCUCUGUAUUAACUCUGAGAAUGAAGUGAAAUUUACAAAAAAGAAAAAGCUCCAUUCUCCCCAAAUGUACAAGAUACAGAUAUCACUAUUUGGCUGAAUUUACAGUCUGGUCACUGUUGCGUUUUGCUAAUUUACUAGGUUUCAGUUGUGCAUCAUUUUUGUCCUCCAGUUCCAUAAAUUUUUCUUCUUUAUCAUUUUCUGUCUGUGUCUCGCUCAUGUUUUCCUCAUCCUGGUUUUUCCUUUUGCUGUCCAUUUUCUGGUUUUCUGUUCCUCUCAUAUUUCUCUCCUUUUUGGUCCCGUUCCCUGUCCUUUGGGCUGUUAUCUCAUCUGUCUCUCGCUCUCGUUCUCCUUUACGGUGUCUUUCUCUGUCUUUUGGACUGUUGUCUCUUCUGUCUCGAUCUUGCUCACCUUUUCUGUCUCGUCUGUCUUUUGGGCUGCUGUUUCUUCUGUCCCUGUCCCUCCUGUCUCUGCCUCUGUCAUCUUUUCUGUCCCCAUUAAAUCACUUUUAUUGUCACAUCACCAGACAAAUCAAUUUAACAUAUAGACAUAGAGACCUCACUGUUGUUAAUGCCAAAGAAUUUAAAGCUGUUUACCCGCUCCACAUGUGUCUGGUCGAUGUUGAUGGGUAUGUGUUCUCUGCUCUGUCUCCUAAAAUCCACCACUAGCUCUUUGGUCUUUUCGAUGUUGAGAGAGGUGGUUCUCCUGAUACUAUUUAGUCUUUCUAUUUCUGUAGGCUGUCUUAUCAUUCUCGGUAAUCAGGCCUAUCACUGUUGUGUCGUCAACGAAUUUGACGAUGACGUUGGAGCUGUGUGUGGCUGCACAGUCAUGUGUGUACAGGAGUAGGCUGAGGACACAGCCCUGAAGAGCACUGGUGUUGAGCGUCAGACUCAGCGGGGAUGAAGUGUUGUUGCCCAUUCUGACCACCUGACUUCUGCCUGUCAGGAAAUCCAGGAUCCAGCUGCAUGGAGAUCUGUUUAUUCCCAGAGUCUGGAGCUUUGCAACAAGUGUGGCAGGCACUAUGGUGUUAAAUGCUGAGCGGUAGUCCACAAACAUUCUCACAUAGGUGUUCUUAUUUUCCGGGUGGGACAGAGCAGUGUGUAGUGUGAAAGUAAUAGCAUCGUCUGUGGAACGGUUGCUACGAUAUGCAAAUUGUAGCGGAUCCAAUGAGGCAGGCAGAACAGAGCAGAUGUAGUCUGACGAGUCUCUCAAAACACUUGCUGAAGAUGGGGGUCAGAGCAACGGGCCUCCAGUCAUUUAAGCAUGUGAUUUAUUUUUCUUUGGUAUGGGCACAAUGGUGGAUUUUUUUGAGGCACGAGGGAACCACACACAGGUAGAUGGAGAGGUUGAAAAUGUCUGAAAACUCCAGCUAGUUGGAAUGCACAUGGCUCGAAGCACAUGGCCCAGGACGCCAUCAGGACCUGCAACCUUGCGGAAAUUCACCCGUCAGAAGGAUCUUCUGCAGCAGCCACGGGGGCGGUGUGUGGAUGGCAGAAAUGAGCGAAUCGCACUUAGGGUUCAGCCUAUGGUUUUUGACCUGUGGGGGGCAGUACGCCUAGCGUCUAAACUCGUAGAUCCUCAAGAAGAAGACCAGUACAUAUAACACGAGGCGAAAUCAGGAAGGUCCUUUCUGUUCUGAACCAGCAAAGAACGAGAGCGAGUUUGGGUUGAGGGAAAAAACGAUUGUUUGCUGGUGUUUUCUGAGGACUUCACAAAUUCAUGAUUCCGAAGGAGAUUUGUACCAGUUUUUAUCCUUGACCUUCAUAUUCAGACCUGUUUUCUUUGAACUGCUGUGUGUCAUAUAAAUAUAAUGUUUGUAUGUUAAGUGUAUUAUUGUACCUCAAGUCCUAUUAAAAGUUUUUAUUCAA